AGCGGCGGACGGGUGAGUAACGCGUGGGUAACCUGCCUCAUACAGGGGGAUAACAGUUAGAAAUGACUGCUAAUACCGCAUAAGACCACGGUACCGCAUGGUACAGUGGUAAAAACUCCGGUGGUAUGAGAUGGACCCGCGUCUGAUUAGGUAGUUGGUGGGGUAACGGCCUACCAAGCCGACGAUCAGUAGCCGACCUGAGAGGGUGAUCGGCCACAUUGGGACUGAGACACGGCCCAG
rnacentral:rRNA from 1 species